UGGGGAAUAUUGCACAAUGGGGGAAACCCUGAUGCAGCCAUGCCGCGUGUGUGAAGAAGGCCUUCGGGUUGUAAAGCACUUUCAGCGAGGAGGAAAGGUUGAUGCCUAAUACGCAUCAGCUGUGACGUUACUCGCAGCAAGAAGCACCGGCUAACUCCGUG
rnacentral:rRNA from 1 species